UACGGAGGGUGCAAGCGUUAUCCGGAAUCACUGGGUUUAAAGGGUGCGUAGGCGGGGAAUUAAGUCAGUGGUGAAAUGUAGUCGCUUAACGACUAACGUGCCAUUGAUACUGGUUUUCUUGAGUUAUAGUGAGGUUGGCGGAAUGAGACAUGUAGCGGUGAAAUGCUUAGAUAUGUCUUAGAACACCGAUUGCGAAGGCAGCUGACUGGCUAUAUACUGACGCUGAGGCACGAAAGCGUGGGGAUCAAACAGG
rnacentral:rRNA from 1 species